CACUCAGUCAUGCCUCAGGGGAACGCAAGCCAUUUCCACCUACUCUUCAGAGAAGUUUCACACAAAGUAAAAUACAAAAUGAAGAAUGAAGAUGCUUGAGGUGUGAGUGGGAAGGGUCACUGUCACAAGUUUAGAUGUAUAACUUCUUGGUGCCUGGCUUUUCUGAGCUAACAGUGGUCUGCGUGUGCACUGCAUUUUGUAGGUAGCGACCUGACUUUAUGAAACAUCUCUAAUAAAAUCAGACUAUAAAGUUUAGCUUAAAGUACGGUUCUUUGGAAGUGCACACCUUCUCUCACUGUCUUUGAUGCCAAAGCAAAAGUUUUCACUCUUUUGCUUUCAUAAACUCUAUAUGUAACUUCCAGUGAAAGUACUACAAGACCGGUAGAGAAACUCCAGAUCACUGAAGUGAGCAUCCAGGAUCAAACCCUUUGGAAUUUUAACAGGCCUGAGCCUACAUGUGCACCUCAGAAACAGCUUCUGCUUUGUUGUGAGCUGUUUCCAUGAUAAAAAAAAAGAACCAGAGAGGAAAUCCAGAUCAUUCUGCUAUUCCUGGUUUGCGAUUCACUGCAGUUUUAAGAGACCAGUUUCCAAAGAUAGUGUCCUGACUCUCUGCUUAGGCCCACUAACUCUAAAAAUACACGAUGAAUUGAAAGGAACAUAGCAGAAGAAGAUAAUUGUUUACUUGUAAAACUAAUCUGGUUCUUGCCAUUUCUAUGUUAGGCAAACACACCAGCACAUCCAAAACUUGGACUUGCGGUAAUAACUACAGUAUGUUUCCUUCUUUUGCUUCUUGAAAGUCGACGUCAAACCAUUAGAAAAUAGAAAUGAAUUAGUUCCGUUUUUGCUGUAGCUGUGUAAAGACACGGAAAUCAUCUCACAAUCAGUAGUCUUAAAUGUGCAGCAUUUGAGUCAUUCUGAUGUGCUGUGUUUGAAUUUUUGGGAUGGUCCUUAAUUUAGUGACAGAACCAGUUCAGAUGGAGUGGUGGAGUGGUGGUAGAGGCUGCAUCCAGGUGUCUUUGGCCAAGUCCAUCUGCUCCAGUUCAGUUCUACUCAUGUUUUGUAAGCCACGUG
rnacentral:lncRNA from 1 species